CCCUUAGACGUUCUGGGCCGCACGCGCGCUACACUGACCAGUGCAACAAGCAUCCGUCCUUGGCCGACAGGCUCGGGCAAUCUUUGAACGCUGGUCGUGAUGGGGAUAGACUUUUGCAAUUUUUGGUCUUCAACGAGGAAUUCCUAGUAAACGCAAGUCAUCAACUUGCAUUGAUUACGUCCCUGCCCUUUGUACACACCGCCCGUCGCACCUACCGAUUGAAUGGUCCGGUGAAGCCUCCGGAUUGGCGCGCACCUCGGUGCCGCCGAGAAGUUGGCUAAACCUUACCAUUUAGAGGAAGGUGAAGUCGUAACC
rnacentral:rRNA from 1 species